GACGAACGCUGGCGGCGUGCUUAGCACGUGCAAGUCGAACGAUGAAGCCUUAGCUUGCUUUGGUGGAUUAGUGGCGAACGGGUGAGUAACACGUGAGCAACGUGCCCAGGACUCUGGAAUAACCGCGGGAAACCGUGGCUAAUACCGGAUAGGUGCCGAGGCCGCAUGGUCUUCGGUUGGAAAGUUUUUGCGGUUCUGGAUCGGCUCACGGCCUAUCAGCUUGUUGGUGGGGUAAUGGCCUACCAAGGCGACGACGGGUAGCCGGCCUGAGAGGGUGACCGGCCACACUGCGACUGAGACACGGCCCAGACUCCUACGGGAGGCAGCAGUGGGGAAUAUUGCACAAUGGGCGCAAGCCUGAUGCAGCAACGCCGCGUGGGGGAUGACGGCCUUCGGGUUGUAAACCUCUUUUAGUAGGGAAGAAGCGCAAGUGACGGUACCUGCAGAAAAAGCACCGGCUAACUACGUG
rnacentral:rRNA from 1 species